CGGACUUGAUUCUCAGCCAACUGGCCUUGGCUAACUCCAUGGUCCUUUUCUUUAAAGGGAUACCUCAGACAAUGGCAGCUUUUGGAUUGAAAUAUUUGCUGAAUGACACUGGAUACACAAGCAGCAAGUCCAACACAAUCACAGCAACAGACUCUCCUGCAGACCUUCCCAGGAAGCCAGAGCCACACACACCAUCAUGGUCCUGGUGAGCUCCUUUUUUGUUUUCUAUUCAGUCCAUAGUUUUCUGACAAUUUGGACAACUGUAGUUGCAAACCCAGGCCAGUGGAUAGUGACCAACUCUGUGUUGGUCGCCUCAUGUUUCCCAGCACGCAGCCCUUUUGUCCUCAUCAUGAGUGAUACUCAUAUCUCUCAGUUCUGUUUUGCCUGCAGGACAAGGAAAACACUCUUUCCUAAUCUGGUUGUCAUGCCAUGAGUCUUUUCUCUUCAUGGAAUUCAGCUAUUUAUCAUAACUCUUGCUA
rnacentral:lncRNA from 1 species